rnacentral:rRNA from 1 species
UUAAGUGACUAAGCGUACACGGUGGAUGCCUAGGCAGUCAGAGGCGAUGAAGGGCGUGCUAAUCUGCGAAAAGCGUCGGUAAGGUGAUAUGAACCGUUAUAACCGGCGAUACCCGAAUGGGGAAACCCAGUGUGUUUCGACACACUAUCAUGUCAUGAAUACAUAGUGGCAUGAGGCGAACCGGGGGAACUGAAACAUCUAAGUACCCCGAGGAAAAGAAAUCAACCGAGAUUCCCCCAGUAGCGGCGAGCGAACGGGGAGGAGCCCAGAACCUGAAUCGGCUUGUGUGUUAGUGGAAGCGUCUGGAAAGUCGCGCAGCAAAGGGUGAUAGCCCCGUACACUAAAAUGCACAGGUCGUGAGUUCGAUGAGUAGGGCGGGACACGUGACAUCCUGUCUGAAUAUGGGGGGACCAUCCUCCAAGGCUAAAUACUCCUGACUGACCGAUAGUGAACCAGUACCGUGAGGGAAAGGCGAAAAGAACCCCGGCGAGGGGAGUGAAAUAGAACCUGAAACCGUGUACGUACAAGCAGUGGGAGCACCUUCGUGGUGUGACUGCGUACCUUUUGUAUAAUGGGUCAGCGACUUAUAUUUUGUAGCAAGGUUAACCGUAUAGGGGAGCCGUAGGGAAACCGAGUCUUAACUGGGCGAUUAGUUGCAAGGUAUAGACCCGAAACCCGGUGAUCUAGCCAUGGGCAGGUUGAAGGUUGGGUAACACUAACUGGAGGACCGAACCGACUAAUGUUGAAAAAUUAGCGGAUGACUUGUGGCUGGGGGUGAAAGGCCAAUCAAACCGGGAGAUAGCUGGUUCUCCCCGAAAGCUAUUUAGGUAGCGCCUCGUGAACUCAUCUUCGGGGGUAGAGCACUGUUUCGGCUAGGGGGCCAUCCCGGCUUACCAAACCGAUGCAAACUCCGAAUACCGAAGAAUGUUAUCACGGGAGACACACGGCGGGUGCUAACGUCCGUCGUGAAGAGGGAAACAACCCAGACCGCCAGCUAAGGUCCCAAAGUCAUGGUUAAGUGGGAAACGAUGUGGGAAGGCAUAGACAGCCAGGAUGUUGGCUUAGAAGCAGCCAUCAUUUAAAGAAAGCGUAAUAGCUCACUGGUCGAGUCGGCCUGCGCGGAAGAUGUAACGGGGCUAAACCAUGCACCGAAGCUGCGGCAGCGACGCUUAGCGUUGUUGGGUAGGGGAGCGUUCUGUAAGCCGUUGAAGGUGGCCUGUGAGGGUUGCUGGAGGUAUCAGAAGUGCGAAUGCUGACAUAAGUAACGAUAAAGCGGGUGAAAAGCCCGCUCGCCGGAAGACCAAGGGUUCCUGUCCAACGUUAAUCGGGGCAGGGUGAGUCGACCCCUAAGGCGAGGCUGAAAAGCGUAGUCGAUGGGAAACAGGUUAAUAUUCCUGUACUUGGUGUUACUGCGAAGGGGGGACGGAGAAGGCUAGGCUAGCCGGGCGACGGUUGUCCCGGUUUAAGCGUGUAGGGGGUGUGACCUGGUAAAUCCGGUUGCAUGCUAACCCUGAGGCGUGAUGACGAUGCACUACGGUGCAGAAGUAGUUGAUGCCCUGCUUCCAGGAAAAUCCUCUAAGCUCCAGGUAACAUUAAAUCGUACCCCAAACCGACACAGGUGGUCAGGUAGAGAAUACCAAGGCGCUUGAGAGAACUCGGGUGAAGGAACUAGGCAAAAUGGUGCCGUAACUUCGGGAGAAGGCACGCUGGCAUGUAGGUGAAGUCCCUCGCGGAUGGAGCUGAAGCCAGUCGAAGAUACCAGCUGGCUGCAACUGUUUAAUAAAAACACAGCACUGUGCAAACACGAAAGUGGACGUAUACGGUGUGACGCCUGCCCGGUGCUGGAAGGUUAAUUGAUGGGGUCAGCCGCAAGGCGAAGCUCUUGAUCGAAGCCCCAGUAAACGGCGGCCGUAACUAUAACGGUCCUAAGGUAGCGAAAUUCCUUGUCGGGUAAGUUCCGACCUGCACGAAUGGCGUAAUGAUGGCCAGGCUGUCUCCACCCGAGACUCAGUGAAAUUGAACUCGCUGUGAAGAUGCAGUGUACCCGCGGCAAGACGGAAAGACCCCGUGAACCUUUACUAUAGCUUGACACUGAACAUUGAGCCUUGAUGUGUAGGAUAGGUGGGAGGCUUUGAAGCGUGGACGCCAGUCUGCGUGGAGCCAUCCUUGAAAUACCACCCUUUAAUGUUUGAUGUUCUAACUCGGCCCC